rnacentral:rRNA from 1 species
GACGAACGCUGGCGGCGUGCCUAAUACAUGCAAGUCGAACGCAGUGGGGACGGGUGAGUAACACGUGGGUAACCUCCCAUCAGAGGGGAUAACACUUGGAAACAGGUGCUAAACCGAUACUGAUGGCUGGUCCCUCGGGGCAUUAGCUAGUUGGGGGGGUAACGGCCCACCAAGGCCACGAUGCAUAGCCGACCUGAGGCGGUGAACGGCCACAGUGGGACUGAGACACGGCCCAGACUCCUACGGGAGGCAGCAGGAGGGAAUCUUCGGCAAUGGACGAAAGUCUGACCGAGCAACGCCGCGUGAGGGAAGAAGGUUGUCGGAUCGUAAAACUCUGUUGUUAGAGAAGCGGUAUCUAACCAGAAAGCCACGGCUAACUACGUGCCAGCAGCCGCGGUAAUUC